CUCCUGGCGAGACCGGGAGCGGUAGACGCGGAGCGGAGGCCCUCCCGCAGGAGGGGCGCGGGCGUGGAGGGCGUGGGCAGGGGGCGGGGCGAGCCCCGCAGACUGGGUGCUCCGGGGAGCUGUCAGUGUCAGGCUCUGGGAGAGAGGAAGUGAUAGCUCCCAGAGGAGCGCGAGCGGAGCGGCCGGCGCAGCGUGAGACAGCACAUCCUGCCCGCGCCGGCCCUGCCACCUUCGGGAGUCGCCUGCGCCAACGCUGCCGCCGCCCAGGAGCCGCCGCCGGCUCGGGGAGCCCAGUUCCGCCGCUGCCGAGCGCGUCCAGGAAACCAACAUGUCUGACAAAAGUGACUUAAAAGCUGAGCUAGAGCGCAAAAAGCAGCGCUUAGCACAGAUAAGAGAAGAGAAGAAACGGAAGGAAGAGGAGAGGAAAAAGAAAGAGGCUGAUAUGCAGCAGAAGAAAGAACCUGUUCAGGAUGACUCUGAUCUGGAUCGCAAACGACGAGAGACAGAGGCUUUGCUGCAAAGCAUUGGUAUCUCACCGGAGCCGCCUCUAGUGCAGCCACUGCAUUUUUUAACAUGGGAUACCUGUUAUUUUCAUUAUUUAGUCCCAACCCCUAUGUCUCCCUCCUCGAAAUCAGUGAGCACUCCCAGUGAAGCUGGAAGCCAAGACUCAGGCGAUCUGGGGCCAUUAACAAGGACCCUGCAGUGGGACACAGACCCCUCAGUGCUCCAGCUGCAGUCAGACUCAGAACUUGGAAGAAGACUGCAUAAACUGGGCGUGUCAAAGGUCACCCAAGUGGAUUUCCUGCCAAGGGAAGUAGUAUCCUACUCAAAGGAGACCCAGACUCCUCUUGCCACACAUCAGUCUGAAGAGGAUGAGGAAGAUGAGGAAAUGGUGGAACCUAAAGUUGGCCAGGACUCAGAACUGGAAAAUCAGGACAAAAAACAGGAAGUGAAGGAAGCCCCUCCAAGAGAGCUGACAGAGGAAGAAAAACAGCAGAUCCUUCAUUCAGAGGAAUUUCUCAUCUUUUUUGAUCGGACAAUACGGGUAAUUGAAAGAGCCCUGGCUGAAGAUUCCGACAUCUUUUUUGACUACAGCGGCCGAGAGUUAGAAGAAAAAGAUGGGGAUGUUCAGGCUGGAGCCAAUCUUUCUUUCAACCGUCAGUUCUAUGAUGAGCAUUGGUCCAAGCAUCGAGUGGUCACUUGUAUGGACUGGUCCCUCCAGUACCCUGAGCUGAUGGUGGCUUCUUACAACAACAAUGAAGAUGCUCCCCAUGAACCAGAUGGAGUGGCCUUGGUUUGGAACAUGAAGUUUAAGAAAACCACACCAGAAUAUGUCUUCCACUGUCAGUCCUCUGUGAUGUCAGUCUGCUUUGCCCGUUUCCAUCCUAACUUGGUGGUUGGUGGGACUUACUCGGGCCAGAUUGUUCUCUGGGACAAUCGCAGUCAUCGAAGGACUCCGGUGCAGCGGACACCCUUAUCAGCUGCUGCACACACGCAUCCCGUGUACUGUGUAAAUGUUGUUGGGACCCAGAAUGCUCAUAACCUCAUCACUGUCUCCACUGAUGGCAAAAUGUGUUCCUGGAGCCUGGACAUGCUCUCAACUCCACAGGAGAGCAUGGAGCUGGUGUACAAUAAGUCCAAGUCUGUCGCUGUUACUGGAAUGGCUUUCCCAACAGGAGAUGUCAAUAACUUCGUGGUUGGCAGCGAGGAAGGUACAGUCUACACGGCUUGUCGUCAUGGAAGCAAAGCAGGUAUUGGUGAGGUCUUUGAAGGUCACCAAGGGCCAGUGACAGGAAUUAACUGCCACAUGGCAGUGGGCCCAAUCGACUUUUCUCACCUGUUUGUCACAUCAUCAUUUGACUGGACUGUCAAACUGUGGACCACAAAGAGUGAAGUAACUGGCCCUCCCAUAAAUUCUAGGGAACCAGGCCUCAGUGUUUAUUACUGGAAAUGCACCAGCUUUGUGGAAGUUUCUGGAAAGGAAUGUUGUGGAAUUGGCGAUUGAGUGAAAUAGCUUUCUCUCCUGUCCCCUGGUUCACUGACUUGAACUAAGCCCAAGGCAAAACACAACAAGCCGCUCUACUCCUUUGAAGACAAUGCAGACUAUGUGUACGAUGUCAUGUGGUCCCCCGUGCAUCCCGCGCUCUUUGCCUGCGUGGACGGGAUGGGGCGCUUGGACCUCUGGAACCUCAACAAUGACACCGAGGUUCCAACAGCAAGUGUGGCCAUUGAGGGAGCAUCCGCCCUAAACCGUGUUCGUUGGGCCCAAGCCGGCAAAGAAGUUGCUGUUGGGGACUCAGAAGGCCGUAUUUGGGUCUAUGACGUUGGAGAGCUUGCAGUUCCCCACAAUGAUGAAUGGACCCGAUUUGCCAGGACCCUUGUGGAGAUUCGCGCUAACAGAGCUGAUAGCGAGGAGGAAGGCACUGUUGAGUUAUCUGCCUAGUGGAAAUGAGCCACCCCCACUGCAGCCCCCAACUUUGUGUCCUAGAGCUCAGCGUCUGCAGUCAAGUCUGUUGUAUUCGGUGUCCAUUCAGUAUCAGUAUUGCUGUGACAUUUUGGGUGCCAUAUUGUGCCAGCUUUGCUCCAAGCAUUCUAAAUGUGUCCCACCAUGCUUUCCACUGACCCAAAAUUCACCAGAGCAUUUCUAUCUUUAUAUUUCUGUCUCAAAAAUGAAGGGAGGGGGGUUAUGGGUUAAGUUGCUGCCUUUUAACUACUUAGUAGCUGUAUUUAAUAGCUGGAAACCUCUGGUUAAAUUUGUGCUUACAUGCAUUCCUGGCAUAGUCCUAUUAAAUCCAUAUGAAGCCAGAUAUGAUUGGGUGCAGAUGUGGUGUGCCUCAUGUUAUGGUACAGGGCCAAAGACUUGAGAUGUGGUGUUUUACAUGGUGACUCACAUUAUGAAUGGAUUUACUAGAAGAACAUUGCUGCUCCUUAUUUAUUGUAGUGUGCUGCAUGGAACGUAUUUAUUUGAAAGCAUUAAAAUAAACGAUCCUAGAGCAUGUGCAUAAUGAGAGGACUGUAUUCUCUCUGCUGCUGUUGAGGUUACAUUAAGUUCCAAAUAACAAUUACAGUAUGCCAGUUCCACUGAAGACAUGAAAUCUUUAGAGGUUUGUUGCAGUGAACGAAAUGAAUUUUAAUGCCUAUUAUUUCUAGGUACUUUAACAAUAUUUCAAAUAUCAUUGACCACUAAUACUUGUCAUUGAAGCUAACACAGUCUGACAAAAGUCUAUGGUUCCUAAAUAUGACAUCAGUGUUGCCAAUAAAAUGUUUCAAACCAGG